rnacentral:rRNA from 1 species
CUCGUAGGCGGUUCGUCGCGUCCGGUGUGAAAGUCCAUCGCUUAACGGUGGAUCUGCGCCGGGUACGGGCGGGCUGGAGUGCGGUAGGGGAGACUGGAAUUCCCGGUGUAACGGUGGAAUGUGUAGAUAUCGGGAAGAACACCAAUGGCGAAGGCAGGUCUCUGGGCCGUUACUGACGCUGAGGAGCGAAAGCGUGGGGAGCGAACAAG